CGUGCACCGGUGGGGUCCCUCGGCCUGGCCUGUCAUAAUCCAGGACCCCUCAGGGGAUGUCGGAGAGCUGGUUUCAGCCCAAUCCCUGCAGGUCAGGCUGAGGGACCCCACCGGUGCACG
rnacentral:pre_miRNA from 1 species